CUAUGAGCCCAUCUUGCCCAAAACUCCAUCCCUACAGCAGCGCCCACUGAGAGAGAAAAUGUGCCAAACAUUUCGAGCAAAGGCACCUCUCCACCCUCCAUUUGCCAAUAGAACCUGUAGUAACAAGCCAUAACAGCCAUGGAAGUAAUCCCAAAACUCGACAUCACAGCAGCAACCAAGUAAGUAAACCUCUCAGACCUCUUCCUAGACAAUCUCUCCGCCACACGAGGCGUCAAGAUCUGGUAAUUUACUUCUUCGGACCGUUCUGGUUUAUGAUUCUCGAUCUGGACACUCUGUUUUGAGUCUUCGAGGACAAAACAGAUAGCGAAGCUGGUUUUCCUUCGACCAACACGAAAUAAACUGUGAUAUCGAGUUGGAGAAGGAAUUGAGAAAAGUGAAGUGGUUAUGGGCUUUGGGAAGAGAUUGGAAGCAUGGAUAUAAAGGAAGGGCUUGAAGACGGGCGCGGCGGAUAAUCCAGCAGCCAUCGAAGGGAGGUGGGUUAAACGCUUGAGAGCUUUCGAGCUUGAGAUAUAUACAGGGAGGGAGAGCGAGCGGGAGAGAGUGGGAGAGGGGUAGGCCAGUAGGGUGCUGGAGAGAGAGGUAUGUCGUGGUUGUGGAGAGGUUUUAGCGUGAACUGCGAGUUGUGGAGGGUUUGGAGCAAAUGGUUAAAUGCACGAAAACCACAUCUCUUUUUUUUGUUUGGGG
rnacentral:misc_RNA from 1 species